GUCUCAAAUAAAUAAAAACGUAGAAUUAGGCCACAAGAGUCGGAGCUUUUUCUUGUUCAAGGGGUUGGGGGGUUUCGACGAUUAACCUUCUCUCUCUCUCUCUCACUGAACAUUUGGAGUUUAAUCCGUUUCGUCGCCGGAAGUAUCACCUAUUCUUCGUCGGCGUUUAACAAUGGAAGAAACAAGGCAACUCGAAUCGUCGAUUGAUCGUCUUCUCAACGAAGAGAAGCAGAUGAGGCUCGCUGAAAACGUCGCCGGAACUAGAAAAGCGGCGACAGAGAUUCUUAAGCUUUGUUUCGAAGCCAAGGACUGGAAACAUCUUAACGAACAGAUUCUUAAUCUCUCGAAGAAACGUGGUCAGCUUAAGCAGGCUGUUCAAUCCAUGGUGCAACAAGCAAUGCAGUACAUUGAUCAGACACCAGAUGUAGAAACUCGGGUUGAGCUUAUUAAGACCUUAAACAAUGUAUCAGCUGGAAAGAUAUAUGUUGAAAUUGAGAGAGCACGUUUGACCAAGAAGCUUGCUAAGAUUAAGGAAGAACAGGGUCUGAUUGCUGAAGCUGCUGAUCUUAUGCAAGAAGUUGCUGUGGAGACAUUUGGUGCUAUGGCCAAAACUGAGAAAAUUGCUUUCAUCCUUGAACAAGUCCGCUUGUGCUUGGAUCGACAAGAUUUUGUUCGUGCUCAAAUUUUGUCUAGGAAGAUCAAUCCAAGAGUGUUUGAUGCAGAUACCAAAAAAGAUAAAAAGAAACCUAAGGAAGGUGAUAACAUGGUUGAGGAGGCUCCAGCUGAUAUACCAACAUUGCUGGAGCUAAAGCGAAUCUACUAUGAACUAAUGAUUCGGUAUUAUUCUCACAACAACGAGUACCUUGAGAUAUGCCGUAGCUACAAGGCGAUAUAUGAUAACCCUUCAGUCAAGGAAAACUCAGAACAAUGGAUUCCAGUCCUGAGGAAGAUCUGCUGGUUCUUGGCCUUGGCACCACAUGAUCCGAUGCAAUCGAGUCUGCUUAAUGCAACCUUGGAAGAUAAAAAUUUAUCAGAAAUCCCUGAUUUCAAGAUGCUUCUAAAGCAGAUUGUUACAAUGGAGGUGAUUCAGUGGACAUCUCUUUGGAAUAAAUUGAAGGACGAGUUUGAGAAAGAGAAAAGCAUGAUUGGAGGCUCGUUGGGUGACAAAGCUGGUGAAGAUCUCAAACUACGAAUAAUCGAACACAAUAUUCUUGUUGUCUCGAAGUAUUACUCAAGGAUUACCUUAAAGAGACUUGCAGAACUUUUGUGCCUAACCACGGAGGAAGCAGAGAAGCAUCUAUCUGAAAUGGUUGUGUCCAGAGCCUUGAUAGCAAAAAUCGACAGACCAUCCAGUAUAAUCUGCUUCCAGAUCGUUAAAGACAGCAACGAAGUUCUCAACUCAUGGGCAACAAACUUGGAGAAGCUUUUGGACCUUGUUGAGAAGAGUUGUCACCAAAUUCACAAAGAAACAAUGGUCCAUAAAGCUGCAUUGAGAGCUUGAGAAACCAGGCUAUCCAUUCAUAAGAUAGGAGCUUGAGAGCCGGACCACACACCAAAGUGGAAAGAAUCUUUCAGGAAGAGAGAAAAAAAAUGAAGCAAUUCCAUCAGGAGGAUGGACUAUUAUUAUUGUAGCUGUUACUUGUCUUCUCUGAUGGCCAUUGUAUAUCCUGGAGAUAACCGGUUUCGCUAGCUGAUUC